rnacentral:rRNA from 1 species
AUUGAACGCUGGCGGAAUGCUUUACACAUGCAAGUCGAACGGUAGAGGGGGCAACCCCUUGAGAGUGGCGAACGGGUGAGUAAUAUAUCGGAACGUGCCCAGUCGUGGGGAUAACGUAGCGAAAGUUACGCUAAUACCGCAUACGAUCUAAGGAUGAAAGCGGGGGAUCGCAAGACCUCGCGCGAUUGGAGCGGCCGAUAUCAGAUUAGGUAGUUGGUGAGGUAAAGGCUCACCAAGCCAACGAUCUGUAGCUGGUCUGAGAGGACGACCAGCCACACUGGGACUGAGACACGGCCCAGACUCCUACGGGAGGCAGCAGUGGGGAAUUUUGGACAAUGGGCGCAAGCCUGAUCCAGCAAUGCCGCGUGCAGGAUGAAGGCCUUCGGUUGUAAACUGCUUUGUUACGGACGAAACGGUG